GCCCCGAUAGUCUAGUGGCCUAGGAUGCGGGACUGUCGAUCCCGCGACCCGGGUUCAAAUCCCGGUCGGGGCG
rnacentral:tRNA from 1 species